GACGAACGCUGGCGGCGUGCCUAAUACAUGCAAGUAGGACGCAGUUGCGAACGGGUGAGCAACGCGUAGGUAACUACCUAUUAGAGGGGGAUAACUAUUGGAAACGAUAGCUAAUACCGCAUACUAGUAGAUGGACCUGCGUUGUAUUAGGUAGUAGGUAGGGUAAUGGCCUACCUAGCCAACGAUGCAUAGCCGACCUGUGACGGGGAUCGGCCACAAUGGGACUGCGAGACGGCCCAGACUCCUACGGGAGGCAGCAGUAGGGAAUCUUCGGGAAUGGGGGGAACACUGACCGAGCAACGCCGCGUGAGUGAAGAAGGUUUUCGGAUCGUAGAGCUCUGUUGUUAAGGAAGCGGUACUUAACCAGAAAGGGACGGCUAACUACGUGCCAGCAGCCGCGGUAAUUC
rnacentral:rRNA from 1 species